GUUUUUGCCAUGUAUGCGCCCAAAUAUGGGAGUGCGUUUAGGAAUCACGUGCCUUUGUUGACCAGUCGUAAAUUCUCUCUGAUGACUUCAAGAGCAUAAACGAUGGAGUAUCCCUGGAUUGCUGGUGGAGCUCCCUGCAACUAAGGCCCUUAGGUCCCUCAGAACAUCGACCGAUUCUGGACCGCUUGAAAUUUCCUGAAACUUCGUCAAUACGCACAGCUAACAAAGCAAUAAUUGGUAUUGCUUAUGAAGAUCCUUCUCACACAUUGUCUCUUAGUGGUGCAUUUGGAGACGCGCGUAAAAACGAAGACAGGAGCCACAAAUCUGACUCUCACAAAACCUGACCUGUGACGCUGACCUUUCUGAACGUUGCAGUCAUACAAAGUGCAAUUUGGACUCUGGUGAUGUGAGUUUUUUUGUGCCAUUCUAAAUAACACAAACAACUCCAUUUUGAAACAUCAA